GAUCAUGGCUCAGGACGAACGCUGGCGGCGUGCUUAACACAUGCAAGUCGAACGAGAAUCUGCGGAAAGAGGAUUCGUCCAAUUGAAGCAGAGGACAGUGGCGGACGGGUGAGUAACGCGUGAGGAACCUGCCUUUCUAGAGGGGGACGAACAGUUGGAAACGAACUGCUAAUACCGCAUGACAUAUAGAUGUCGCAUGGCAUUUAUAUCAAGAUUAUCG
rnacentral:rRNA from 1 species